rnacentral:rRNA from 1 species
GAUGAACGCUGGCGGCGUGCCUAAUACAUGCAAGUCGAGCGAACAGACGAGGAGCUUGCUCCUCUGACGUUAGCGGCGGACGGGUGAGUAACACGUGGAUAACCUACCUAUAAGACUGGGAUAACUUCGGGAAACCGGAGCUAAUACCGGAUAAUAUAUUGAACCGCAUGGUUCAAUAGUGAAAGACGGUUUUGCUGUCACUUAUAGAUGGAUCCGCGCCGCAUUAGCUAGUUGGUAAGGUAACGGCUUACCAAGGCAACGAUGCGUAGCCGACCUGAGAGGGGGAUCGGCCACACUGGAACGGAGACACGGCCCAGAGUCCUACGGGAGGCAGCAGUAGGGAAUCUUCCGCAAUGGGCGAAAGCCUGACGGAGCAACGCCGCGUGAGUGAUGAAGGUCUUCGGAUCGUAAAACUCUGUUAUUAGGGAAGAACAAAUGUGUAAGUAACUAUGCACGUCUUGACGGUACCUAAGCAGAAAGCCACGGCUAACUACGU